rnacentral:lncRNA from 1 species
AAAGACUACAGCAGGGCGAGAGGUAGAAGGGUCCAUAAGGAUUGAAGAAGAAAGAGAGGAUCUGCGGUUGAGAUCCAAAGAGAGGUUUAAAGGGUAUAAUCAUGGUCGUAGGAGGAAGAAAGGGGAUGAAAACGACGACGUAUAAGGUAGGAAAAAGGUGAUGACGACGGAAGUACCGAUGGUAGAAGGGUUCAAUUCAUCCAUUUCCAUUUCAUUGAAUAAGGCAAACAAACAGUUUCGAAUUUAUUGAAUAAGGCAAACAAACAGUUUCGAAUUCAUCGUCUAGUGUGAGAUUCUGCUCUUCUUCAAUUUUGUACUUUUUCUAAUUGAAUUUGGAUUCCUUUCUUAGCAAUCAGACAACAUGUUUGCUAGUAUUUCUCGAUUGUUGAUUGGGCUUUACUUUGUUCCAACUUCCAUGGCAGGUGGCUAUUGUAAUUAGGAAAUUUUAACAAAAAUAUUUGGGUCGGGUUUUUCAAAUAUCAAAUCAUUAUUAUCAGAUAGGAAAAUUUCAAAAUCAGCAAACAUUAGGCCUUAAUUAGGAAUUUAUAGCUAUAGUUUACUUAAUUACGGAUAACAACAAAAUAUUAGGGG